rnacentral:lncRNA from 7 species
CACGAUUCGGUGGUGGCCAGGCCCAGGCUUUCCCGAAAUGAUGGCGUCGAUGUUGCUACCCACAGUACAAGCAGCGUUUGCGGAGUAGACGAACUCCGGCGAGAUCCUCCAUGGCACAGGUUCGAUCUCCAGAGCCGGCGCCCGGGACCCUGGUGACGGUGUGUCCGAUUCCUUUGGUGGCUGCUUUUAGUUCUCUCUCGGCAAGGGUACGAGCGGUAGAUGGUGAUGGCUGUAUGCCUCAAGUAUUUAUGCACC